ensembl:lncRNA
UGGCUCUGUCAAAGGGGCAGAUCCAGCCAAAGCUCUUCAUACUUCAUUCAAUAUAGAGGAAAGGCUAAUUAACGCCAUAGCAAACCACCCGGAGCUGUACAACAGCAGCUGCUUUCUGUACCGAGACAGGAGUAAAAAGGACCGAGCUUGGAGGAAGAUAUGUGAAGAGACCGGGCAACCUGAACCAACUGAUUCUGCAGCAGAGCAUCCCCUGUUGCUUCUCCUGGCUUCCCAGUCCCUGACCUCCUGCUGCUGCACCCACAGGCCCACAGAGGAGGACAGCUCCGAGGCGGAUGAGGGACGGGUCCCAGGACGGUCGAUCGGUGGUGAAGCUGGCCAUCCUGGUGUCCCUGAAGAGGCAACACCAAUGGAGCAUUUCCUCCUCAGCCUUGUUCCUGCUCUGGAGAGCAGCUGGG